GAGACUUUGGUUAAACUGCUUUUUUCGGUCUCAGACUUAACACUUCAACAAUGAACCUUCAUACUUUUUUUCUUGUCUGUGCAUUAUCAGCUGCUGUGUUUGGAAAUGUCAUCACACCAAACAGAACAGAUGUUACUGCUGAGGAGGGUUCAGAUAUCAUAUUGUCCUGUAGUUAUUCCUCUGGAGAUUAUCUACACUGGUACCGUCAGUUUAACAGAUUUCAUCCUGAUUUUAUUGUUCUCACCUACAACAGUGAAAAAGAAGCUCAGCCGUCUGAUGUCGAUCCAAGAUUCUCAGUUAAAGUCACAAAAGGAAAACAAGCUCAUGUGGAUCUUAAGAUCUCAUCUGUUAAAGUCACAGACUCUGCUCUGUAUUACUGCGCCCUGCAGCCCACAGUGACAGGAAACACAUCGGCUCACUACAAAAACCUUUUCCAAUGA